AGAACGAACGCUGGCGGCAUGCCUAAUACAUGCAAGUCGAACGAACACUUCGGUGUUAGUGGCGCACGGGUGCGUAACGCGUGGGAAUCUGCCCUUGGGUUCGGAAUAACAGUUGGAAACGACUGCUAAUACCGGAUGAUAUCGAAAGAUCAAAGAUUUAUCGCCCAGGGAUGAGCCCGCGUAGGAUUAGCUAGUUGGUGAGGUAAAGGCUCACCAAGGCGACGAUCCUUAGCUGGUCUGAGAGGAUGAUCAGCCACACUGGGACUGAGACACGGCCCAGACUCCGUACGGGAGGCAGCGAGUAGGGAAUAGUGGACAAGUGGGCGACAAGCCUGACUCCAGCAAUGCCGCGUGAGUG
rnacentral:rRNA from 1 species